UUAUUGCUUUGGCAGAUUAGUGUGAUAGAUUUAGAAUCUUUUUAUGUAAGUUUUUACAGGUAAU
rnacentral:tRNA from 1 species